GCUGAGUGACUGGAACCUGCUGAGCCUCUGACCUCAAGUGAAUAAGGGCCAAAGUACCCAGCAUAAAAUUCCAUUUGGAAAGGAGACAAAUCUGUUGAUUUCUCAGUAAUGUUAACGGUAUCUGGAGAGGAUGAAUCAUCUUGUCCUGUCACUUGAAUAUGAGAAGAUAAGAGCCAGCAUAUGGUGCCUUUGAUUCAUGAACAUUCAGAGCUGCAGGUGUGCGUUUUGACAUCAGUCUGUGGUGUGUUAGUGCAACACUGAUCGUCAAAGUGGCUGUGUUGCUGGGGAGCCUCGGUGACCCGUCUUGCUUAUAAAGAGAAAAUAUACUGCUCAUCACUGGGAGAGGACUACUUGUUUUUCUAAGUGAAGACACAGAAAAAUAAUUUGAAGUUCUGGUGAUCCGUCAUGGGGAACCAUGUAGGAAAACGAGAACAUAGUGCUGACAAGUCAGCCAAGGUAAGAGCAGAAAAAAGAACAGGCAAGACUACCUCAGACAGGUAGA